rnacentral:piRNA from 2 species
CAUUAUUACUUUUGGUACGCGCU